CGGACGGGUGAGUAAUGUCUGGGAAACUGCCCGAUGGAGGGGGAUAACUACUGGAAACGGUAGCUAAUACCGCAUAACGUCGCAAGACCAAAGAGGGGACCUUCGGGCCUCUUGCCAUCGGAUGUGCCCAGAUGGGAUUAGCUAGUAGGUGGGGUAACGGCUCACCUAGGCGACGAUCCUUAGCUGGUCUGAGAGGAUGAUCAGCCACACUGGGACUGAGACACGGCCCAG
rnacentral:rRNA from 1 species